rnacentral:tRNA from 1 species
GCCCGGAUGGUGAAAUUGGUAGACACAACGGACUUAAAAUCCGUUGUCCUUUGGGACGUGCCGGUUCAAGUCCGGCUCCGGGUACCA